rnacentral:misc_RNA from 1 species
UUUCCGUAGGUGAACCUGCGGAAGGAUCAUUAUCGUGGGGCUCCGGCCCUAUCGAGAUAGAACCCUUGCCUUUAUAGUACCUUCUGUUGCCUCGGCGGCUGCUUAAUCGCGUCGCCAAUGGGGCCAAUCAAUUAAACUCUUUGUAUGUAUCGAAGUAUUAGUCUGAAAAACAAACAAAAGUUAAAACUUUCAACAACGGAUCUCUUGGUUCUG